AUUGAACGCUGGCGGCAGGCUUAACACAUGCAAGUCGAGCGGAGAUGAGGUGCUUGCACCUUAUCUUAGCGGCGGACGGGUGAGUAAUGCUUAGGAAUCUGCCUAUUAGUGGGGGACAACAUUCCGAAAGGAAUGCUAAUACCGCAUACGCCCUACGGGGGAAAGCAGGGGAUCUUCGGAACUUGCGCUAAUAGAUGAGCCUAGGUCGGAUUAGCUAGUUGGUGGGGUAAAGGCCUACCAAGGCGACGAUCUGUAGCGGGUCUGAGAGGAUGAUCCGCCACACUGGGACUGAGACACGGCCCAGACUCCUACGGGAGGCAGCAGUGGGGAAUAUUGGACAAUGGACGGAAGCCUGAUCCAGCCAUGCCGCGUGUGUGAAGAAGGCCUUUUGGUUGUAAAGCACUUUAAGCGAGGAGGAGGCUACCUGGAUUAAUACUCUAGGAUAGUGGACGUUACUCGCAGAAUAAGCACCGGCUAACUCUGUGCCAGCCGCCGCCGUAAAAC
rnacentral:rRNA from 1 species